rnacentral:lncRNA from 1 species
UUUCACCACCACCUUCAGAACCCCUUCUCUAUCUCUAUAAACCAUGGAUUGUUAUUCAAAAAAUCAAAAUGGACACGUGAUAAUGUGAAGCGGUGGAAGGCAGCCCUAAAAGAGGUUGCUAAUUUGAAGAGGAGUGUUGUGUCAGGGUAUGCUUCAUUAUCUCUUUUAUGUAUGAAACCACCUUUAUUCCAAAUAUUGUUGAAAAAAUUCACUCUCAACUAGGUUUGAAACUCCGACUGGUUUAACUGGAAUAGAGACU